GAAAGCCAUGUGCGGGAAAACCGCAUGCGCAGUUUGAUGAGGGGAAUUGAGGAAGUAAGUGCUUGGUAGACGCAAUACAGGAAAAGUGGUCUAACCCCGAU
rnacentral:ribozyme from 1 species